ACUUGAAGUAUGCUAUGUAUUGCGAGAGCAAAAUAUAACAGAGUUCUAAGAUAAAAUCUAAACAAAAAAAAUGGCAAAACACAUUUUCCAAUAUUUUCUCUUGGGAGUUUUGUGCAUUGUGUUUCUCCUAUCUUCAGGAUCAACCCAAGAUGUGAAUUACUGCUCUAAACCUUGCCCUAAUACUUGGGAAUGCGACGCAAAAUGCCGUAGUCAGGGUCAGGGAGGAAGCUGUAUGGGAAACUUUUGUUGCUGUCAGUAAUAAUUGAAGUAAAUUACAAUAUUAUGAAUAUUUAUAAGUAUGUUUUCCUAUGGAGAGAAUAAAUAACUCAUUAAAAAAGAAGAAUAAUAAACUAAAUAAGAAACAUCUUUUUGCAAAGCUUUUAUUUUCAUGUUUGAACCAUAUAUAUCAGUCAUACAUAUUGUGAUGUCUAAUCUCAGCAGAAGAAAAAGAAAACAGUGCACAAACUCAAUGUGAAAUAAAGAAAGCAAGAAUUAGAAAGAAGAUGGAUCUGUUCAACUUAAAAUUAACAGGAUAUUUCUUGUUUUUUUUUUUAAGAACGGAUAUUUCUUGUUUUGAUACUGCUAAUAUACCCAUUUUCAUUAAAUAAA